rnacentral:rRNA from 1 species
UCUUUCUUUGCUGGCGACCGGCGCACGGGUGAGUAACACGUAUCCAACCUGCCCUUUACUCGGGGAUAGCCUUUCGAAAGGAAGAUUAAUACCCGAUAGCAUAAUGAUUCCGCAUGGUUUCAUUAUUAAAGGAUUCCGGUAAAGGAUGGGGAUGCGUUCCAUUAGGUUGUUGGUGAGGUAACGGCCCACCAAGCCUUCGAUGGAUAGGGGUUCUGAGAGGAAGGUCCCCCACAUUGGAACUGAGACACGGUCCAA